CCAGGAUAUGCUGUUUAAAAAGCACUAAAGCCAAAGAUAUUGACGCCAGUGGCCUUAGCCCUGUCAUAGUGAUUUUCAGAGGUAUCCACCACCCUUCUCAAUUUAGCAGAAAUGAUCAGCCUGGAGAGGCAUGCUAGCUGAUUAAAACCAAUUGUCAGGGAAGGGAAGGACAAGGCAACCUCUUUGCUGCAUGAUAAACUAACUUCAUGGAAGCAGACAAUCUCCCCCCUCAGGGAAAUCGCUCCAGUUGUUAAUUAAAGCAUUGUGUUUUCGCUCAGCUUUCUGUAUUAUCUCCACGUGUACGUACUUGAGAGAAGAAUAAGGACGUUACCAAGAAACUAAGACAUCAGAUGAAGAGCGAUGACAGCAGAGGACCGGCCCUGUUGUCUGUCAAUGUAGGAUAAUAGAGAGGUGAAAUGUUUAGUACACAUUCAGUAAUUAAAACUGAAUAAUGUUCUCGAAACGUGAUAAUUGUGUCACUGCUCACUCCCUCAUACUAGAAUAUGUUCACAGAUUGUAACAAUUGAUCCUCCGUCACAAUAGAAUAUGUUCACAGAUUGGAAACUUUGAUCCUCCGUCACAAUAGAAUAUGUUCACAGAUUGGAAACUUUGAUCCAAUGUUCUGGAAAGAUUGACUUAUCUGAAACGUGGCGUUUCACAAGUCUAUUAUCACGCCCACAACUUUGUUUCCCUGCCGUGCUGCAGCUCUAAAGUCACAACUAAGGCAAUGUGAACAUUACAUUUUAGUCAUUUAGCAGACGCUCUUAUCCAGAGCGACUUACAGUAGUGAAUGCAUACAUUUCUUUUUUUUUUUUCCCGUACUGGUCCCCCGUGGGAAUCAAACCCACAACCCUGGCGUUGCAAACACCAUGCUCUACCAACUGAGCCACACGGGACCGAUUCAUUGGCUACAGUUCACAAGUAUAAAGAAACUACCCAUUGGGCAAAAACUGCUUGAAUCAAUGUUGUUUCCACAUCAUUUCAACACAAUCAUUUUAUGUGAUGAUGAAAAAAGUAAUCAACGUAAGGUAAUUUCGUAUGUUUUUCACUCAACUUUGAACCUAAAUCCAACAACGUCACAUUUUUGGUUGUUUUCAUGUUGAAUUCACAUUAGUUGACAACUCAACCAAAUGUAAAUCAAAACUAAACGUUGAACUGAUGUCUGUGCCCAG
rnacentral:lncRNA from 1 species